rnacentral:lncRNA from 1 species
GUAGAGUCUCAUAAAAGAAAUAAAUCUAAAGUUCAAAACUUUAGACUAUUUCAGCAACGAAACAAUGGAAGUAGCUUACUGCAAAAAAGAGUAACAGUCAUUGCGUCUCUUAUGUGAUCGCUGAAGAGUUCAACAUUUCAUUUUGAGGUAUCUCCGGCUCUUACUGAAGUCUUCAUCAUCUAUGUCAAAUCUGACUAUUCUUAAGGAGUCUCCAAAUCUCUUAGUCCUCUUACUCAUCUCCUACUCUUUCUAUUCCUAGACAAAAAGAUAUUUUCAUGAAAAAUUCCAAGAACAGAACCAUUUCUUGAAGAGGCUGUCUUCCCUCAAGAUUCUGUCGCUAAAUAUUUAGCUUGUAAAGAGGCUCAAUUGAAUGUCCAAAUUAGGAAGUUCAUCUUCAUCCUCUAACUAAAAGUUGAGGACAACUUUCUAUAUUUUUUGCGUCUCUGUCGCUUAUUACUAUCAUACUCUUCUGAUAUGAAUUUUCAAGUUGAUCAAAAUAUGGAAACCAUACUGAAAAGCUCUGAUACAAGUGAAUAAUGCAUACUGUAAAGAACUCGGACUCAAGCGCCAUUUGUUAAUCCACAUCGACCCACUGGUACACAGUUUAAAGAAGAAAAAAUAGAGUUAGUCUGAUUUGAUACUGCAACAAUGAUUAAAAAGAGGAGCGAUUAAGAAGGAAAAAUGAAAGGUGUGAUUAAGAUGAUUGAAACUCCAAUACAUCUUCAAGGGCAGGAUGACCAACAAAUGUUGUUGCUAGGCAGAGAGCUAACCAUCAUCUUGUUGAAUGAAUCUUGCAGCAAAAAGGAUUUCCCUUGGUUUCUAUACCUUAUUUCUCCCUGCACAAGGAAAAAGUAAAAAUCUAUUUCAUACUCAUAAAAGGUGCAUAUCAUCACCCUGCAAAUGCUCUAAGAAACGUAAGGAGAAUCCUUUAAAGUCAUGAAGCUUGAAAGAGAAAACAACUUCUGUAGUUUGUUUGAGCCUGCCAUUUCAAAUACCCAUUACUUCAAUAUCCUCCAUUGGGAACAACGGAUUUAACCCCUGCUUAGACAUCAUGUGCCUAGAAGAGACACAGAACGAAUAAGAUAUUAAAGGUAAUAACAACUUGACUAAUGGCUGCUGGAAUCUUGAUUAAGGAAAUCAUAUCAAUAUAUUGAGACUCACAAUAUGUUGGAACAAAAUACCGCAUCUAGAAUUAAGUCAUUCCAACAACCAAGUAAAUCAUUGUCAUCAAUCAUUUUGACAGUAAGCUGGGGAGGAUGUACCACUUUAGCUAUGAGUUCAAUUGGACCCAUAACUUUCGAAGCGAAUUAUAAAUUUAUGUGUAUAACGUCACUAAAAUUGCAAUAUAUAGUAGACAUGAACCCAUAACUUAAUAAGUAUAAUAGGUUUAAUGCUAAAAACCUUAACGGUUGAACCCAUAGGGUUUUAAUUCUGGAUCCGCCUCUGAUAGUAAGGUAAGUCUUCACUACAACUACAGUCAUUUGUGGUAACAACCAUCAAUAACAUUAUCAUCCUUCUCAAUCUUAGCCGUUAAAAAGGCUUGAAAAGUUCUUUUGUUUAUAUUUAUUCAAAAGGAUGAAGGUAAAGACUCUAAUUCAAGGACUGCUAAUCUAGAAUUUACCAUUAAUAUGAGAAGUCAUAUCUUCCAGUGAAUUUCUCAAAUGAAAAGCACCAAAUAUCCAUUUCUCUUGUCUUUAGUAAUUCUUAUUCUCCACUUUUGAGCUCAUUUUAAAAUCCCUGACAGUAGAAAACAUAUGGAGAAGAAAAAAUUAAGCAUCAGCAAGAAAACAAAAAAAUUGCAACACAAUGGGCAAUCUUUCAUCUUAGAAUUCCCCUUUUUUUUUUCUCUGUCUAAAGAAGAUCAAGUUGGUAACAAAGUCAUAUAUUGUAAAACAAUUACAAGCUCUCUUUAUAGAAGUGAUUACUUUUAAGGUCUUAAAGGAUUUUAGAGAAAAGAACUUUAGCAAGACAAAGAGAAAAAGAUAUCAACAUGUCUUCUUCUGUUUUUCAUUCUUACUCGUCCUUUCUCAAUUGGUGAAAUAGUAGAAAGACGGUAAAGAUAGAAAGGCUAAAAGAUAUUUAGAAAAUUCAAAUCUUUUAAAGUAAGGAAGAAUGUAUAUAAUAAUAGAAACUUGCCUAAAAAGGAAUGCACCCUUGUUUCUUAUGUCACUAUUAAUUUUUCUACAAUUAACAAAAGGCCAAAAAAAUUAAAAUCUGCAAUCAGUUGAUGGUAAAAGUAUGCAGUCGGCUUUUUGAUAAACAUUUGAAUCAAAUGAGUAGUAAAGUAUAUUGCACAUAUAGAUAUGUUGUCUAGUAGUUUUGUUUUCGCAUUAAAGACUGGGAUUAGUAAUCUAUAAUGUGAUACACGAUAGCAUACAAAUGUAUGAAAGAAUAUAGAGAUUAGCAGGGAGUGAACAAAAUUUAAACUUUGGGGAAAAAGAACAGGAAAAAGAAGGUAGAGAGGGUGGAGUAUAGAGAAAUUCGGCAAAAGUGGAGAGAAAUAGUGUAAAAAGAGAAUGA